AGAAUCAACGCUGGCGGCGUGCCUAACACAUGCAAGUCGAACGAGAAAGUGGUAGCAAUACCAUGAGUAAAGUGGCGCACGGGUGAGUAACACGUGACUAACCUACCCUUGAGUGGGGGAUAACUGAGGGAAACCUUAGCUAAUACCGCAUAAUACCCACGGGUCAAAGGAGCAAUUCGCUCGAGGAGGGGGUCGCGGCCGAUUAGUUAGUUGGCAGGGUAAUGGCCUACCAAGACGAUGAUCGGUAUCCGGCCUGAGAGGGCGCACGGACACACUGGAACUGAAACACGGUCCAGACUCCUACGGGAGGCAGCAGUGGGAAUUUGCGCAAUGGGGGAAACCCUGACGCAGCAACGCCGCGUGGAGGAUGAAGUCCUUCGGGACGUAAACUCCUUUCGAUCGGGACGAUUAUGACGGUACCGGAAGAAGAAGCCCCGGCUAACUUCGUGCCAGCAGCCGC
rnacentral:rRNA from 1 species